CUCAUGGCCAAACCAUCUUCAUUUCUGGCAGCAGCAUCUAUUUCUUCUGGAAAACUUCGCUAGACCCCUCCUUCAGAGAGGGCCCUGCUGGGAACUCGCUUUCCCAACAGCACUUGCAUGAGGUGGGCAUUGAAAAGCCUCUGAACUCCUCUUGGGGUAUGAUCUUUUGAUAUCUGCACUACUAACUUUCGACCUCAGCAGACGAGGCUUACUUUGGUGGCACGUGCCAGUUCAACCCUAAUUGACCCACGGAGCCCACUGGCUCCCAUCUGAUGAUGAAGAGGAACUUCUGGUGGGACUCCAUGGAUCAACUAGAAUGGAGCCAUCAUAUGCCACUGGGGCGGCAACACAGAUGAUAUCUUGUGUGACAAAGGAUGCAAUGGGGGAAGCUGCAUUGUUGAUGCUUCCCCCACGGGAUCAGCUUCCUAGAAAGCUGGGCCAUGAGGGACAUGGGGCAACGGGUUCCCCACACACCCAGAUGGUGGGCACCAGAUUUGCCACAAUAUAUGGUAAUUCCAGCAGCCCUUGUUAAGAGAUUGCUUGUGAAGCCAGCAUGGUGUACUGAUUUGAGCAUUAGAAUAUGACUCUAGAGACCAGGGUUGGAAUCUCUGCUCAACCAUUAAACGUACUAGGUGACUUUGGGGAGUCACCUAGUAAUCUCCUCUAAACAAAUCUUGCCAAAAAUGUGAUAGGUUCAUAUUAGAGUUACCUAUACGUUGAAAAUGACUUGAAGGCAUACAACAAUCAAAACAAGCUUUGUGGAAUGAUUUCUGGGCUGGUUGAGAUAUUAUCCCUUUGUUUGCCUGCAUCUUCUUGAAUAAUCCAUGCAUUUCCUGUACUGGAUUGUCUACCACAUAACUGUUUCCUUUAAGCAAAUUUGUCCCAUUUGAUACUUACAUAAAAGAUUAAGACAGAUAAAAUACAGAGAGCUGAUAAUUGCUGAUUUUUGUAAUUUUUCCAUAAUUGACCACAUCACGAGGCCACGUGACCCAAUCAUGGUCCAAAUCCAGCUUCUCUGUGUUACAUAUUUUCCCUGUGAAUUUACCCUUAGUUUCAGCCUGAUGCUAGAUUUUGGUGGUGGUAAAUACAUUGAAUCCAAAAUCUGUCUUCUUAGGAAAUAUGGUAGACAAAUUUUAAAGGAAAUGAGAUGUAUUUAUUUAAUAAAAUGUACAAACUAGUCCAAAGAAGCUCUGACUAUUUUAACAUGGAGAAAACUGUAGCAGGGUCUAACUCUUCAAAGACCACCAGGAGACAGAUGGCUCAUCUAUAACAUUAAUCUCUGCAUAGACAGGACAGUUCUUGCAAAUGCUUUACUGUACCCUGGAUAAUCUCUUAUUUUAUAACACACAGACUGUGUGGCUUGCAUAUUCCAACUGUUAUUCCAACCUUUGUUGCUUCCACUUAAGCAGAAAGCUGAAGCGGUUAGUCUGAAUGAUCAGAUUUACAUUGGAUUUGCUGCAUAGCGCUUUUCUAGUCAGCAACUGGGUGAUUGCUGCAUUUGAGGCGAUAGCAGACGAUUUAGAUCUAAUCAAAUCAUAGCUUUAAAAAGGGAGAAUCGAUUCAGUUUAAGAAUUGCCUCGCCAAAAGAAGAAAAGAAACCCUACAAACCUCACAAAAAAUAAAAAGAAUAACAAACAAACCAAGCAAACUUGCUGAAAAACACCUCGCUGUCCAGAAACAACAUUAACUAUAAUCCUUCUGCAUAUUUUCUCAUUUGGCACAUCUAAAUGAAACUGAGUGCAAAGGCUACACAUACGAUGGAACAAUCAGUGCAGCCAGCCACAUUUCAGGAGAAAAAAGUAAUAAAUGUCUGACUUCAGAUGUUUGUUGUUUUUAGGAGAUUUCUUUGUGGGAGCCAGUGGCCUUACAACCUGAGGAAAAUUGUAUUGGAAGCUGCAUUUUCAUUUUGGUAUCAAAGUAGGUUCUUCUGAUCAUAAAAACGGUGCCAUCCUGGCAAUAUGGCUAUAGAUGAACACAUAACCAGUUUUCCAUUGGUAGCCUUGUUGGCAUAAAAUAAGAAUUACAAAUUCAGCUGUCCUGUUAUAGUAGGUCUGUCAACUCCAUUUUGACAAUAAGUGACAUCUAACCCCUGAUCUGUAUUGUUUUGCUGAGCUCUGCCAUUUGUGUGAUGCUAGAAAUGCUGUAACCACAAUAUUAUGUGACUAGGGUCAUCAAACUGAUGUCAUGGUUAUAUAAAGUGCCAAAUAUUGAGAAACAUCUUCAGUAAUAACAAGUCCUAAAAACAUUAUUUACUGGUCACAUAGACCUCAAAUAAGGAUUACCAUUUAUGUGUUAGAUAUUGCUUAUGUGCAGUCUGUCUUUGCAUACUCUGAGGAUCAAUAAAACAUAAACUUUUAUCUGCAAGUAGGUUGGACUGAAUGAAAGCCGUUCUGGGCUUGGUAGUUCCUUGUUGCUUGUUGUUUGUCUUCCUGCUCAUACUUAGGGUUCCUUCUAGCUUCAUGUCCCAUUUAGGAGUAUACUGUAGAGCUGAUAUUACAGUCCUACCCAACAGCUCUACAGCUCAUGUGGUUCCUACACAACCAGCAGACAUCUGAAAUGACAUAACAUAUUUAAGGAUAGGCAGUUCUAUCUAUUUCUGAUGGAUGUUGCUUUGACAGAUCCAACCUUCCUCUGCUUCACCCUGCUUCAACCCCCUGCCUUGGAAAUUUCUAAAUGAGAAACCCUACCCAACCA